rnacentral:misc_RNA from 1 species
UGGUUCCGGCAUCGAUGAAGAACGCAGCGAAAUGCGAUAAGUAAUGUGAAUUGCAGAAUUCAGUGAAUCAUCGAAUCUUUGAACGCACAUUGCGCCCUUUGGUAUUCCGAAGGGCAUGUCUGUUCGAGCGUCAUUGCACCCCCGUUCCGGCGUGUCGCUGGAUGAUGAGCCCCGUCGGUGUUCCCGACCGGCUCGAAAGUGAAUGCCGACCCCCGCGAGGCUUGGAGCGCAGUCAGCACUCGCGUUCGCUCGUCAAGUCCCCGCGGUGGCCGCGGCCCCCCCGCUCGGAUGCCCUCCCGAGGGGCAUCCGGCAUCGCAGCGAAAUUGACCUCGGAUCAGACAAGGAUACCCGCUGA